GGCGGGCAGAACUCUGAAGACGCGGAGAUUUGAGUUGAACUGGAAGUCUGGUUAGCAGCUGAGCAAGAUCGGAGCGUGGACCUCUGAGUGCCUCCCAUCCCUAAGGACACCACACCACCUCCCUGCAGCUCUCAUGAGUGGAAGCAGCUCCUUUUCCCAAGCUCCAGACUAUUGAAAUGACGUUAGACAAAAAGCAAAUUCAAGUGAUUGCAGCGGAGACACAUCGCAACAUUGACAAUGCAUUUGGCCCAGGAACUGCCAACGAACGCACAGUGCACUGGUGCUUCAAGAAGUUUUGCAAAGGAGACGAGAGCCUUGAAGACGAGGAGCGCAGUGGCCGACAUCGGAAGUUGACAGCAACCAAUUGAGAGCAAUCGUUGAAACCCAUCCUCUCACAACUGCACGAGAAGCUGCCAAAGAACUCAAGGUGGACAAUUCUGCGGUCCUUCGGCAUUUGAAGCAGAUUGGAAAGGUGAAAAAGUUUGAUAAGUGGGUGGCUCAUGAGCUGCCCAAAAAUAAAAAAAUGGUUGUUUUCAAGUGUAGUCUUCUCUUCUUGUACUUAACCACAAUGAACCAUUUCUCAAUCUGAUUGUGACGUGUGACAAAAUGUGGAUUUUCUAUGACAACUGGUGGCUGGCUCAAUGGUUGGACUGAGAAGAAGCUCCAAAGCACUUCACAAGGCCAAACUGGCCUCCCAAAAAGGUCACUGUUUGAUGGUCUGCUGCCGGUCUGAUCCACUACAGCUUUCUGAAUCCCAGUGAAACCAUUCCAUCUGAGAAGUCUGCUCAGCAAAUCGAUGCGAUAACGGAAAACUGCUAUGCCUGCAGCUGGCAUUGGUCAACAGAAAGGGCCCAGUUCUUCUCUAUGACAACACCUGACUGCAUGUCGCACAACCAACAUUUCAAAAGUUGGAGGGGCCGGGCGCUGUGGCUCACGCCUGUAAUCCUAGCUCUUGGGAGGC